CUCCCCUCCACGCCCCCUCCCGGCGCCCGCCGGCCCGCGUCAAAAGCUUAGCUCCAGGAGCGGGGGAGGGGAGUGGAAUGUGGAACCCAGAACUCCCGCCUCUUCCCCUCCUCUCACCCGUCGGGUUCUUUAGGGUCCUCGCUUCCUCUCCAGCCUCUGCUACACCAAACUAAGAUCACGUUCACCUCACGGUUUCCCCACCUGCCUGCCUCGGUUUCUCACCUGCCUUCCCUCCUUUCAUUCCUAAGCCCGGAAUCCGGAACCUCUGCUUUCCGCCCCGCGUCCGCCCGGAAGAAAAUCAGACGCACACUUCCGCUUCCGGGGCCGGGCGACCUUCGGUGCUGUUGCUGCCGGUGAGGAGGGAAAGCACCGCGGCCGACACGCGCCCCACUGUCAGACCACGGGAUGAUGUGGCCCACAAGCAGCUCUCAGCAUUUGGAGAGUAUGUGGCUGAAAUUCUGCCCAAGUAUGUCCAGCAAGUUCAGGUGUCUUGCUUCAAUGAGUUAGAGAUCUGUAUCCAUCCUGAUGGAGUCAUCCCAGUGCUGACUUUCCUCAGGGAUCACACCAAUGCACAAUUCAAGUCCUUGGCUGACUUGACAGCAGUGGACAUCCCCACUCGGCAGAACCGUUUUGAGAUUGUUUACAACCUGCUUUCUCUGCGCUUCAACUCUCGGAUCCGUGUGAAGACCUAUACAGAUGAGCUGACACCCAUUGAGUCCACGGUUUCUGUGUUUAAGGCAGCUAACUGGUAUGAGAGGGAGAUCUGGGACAUGUUUGGAGUCUUCUUUGCUAACCACCCUGACCUAAGAAGGAUCCUGACAGACUAUGGCUUUGAGGGACAUCCUUUCCGGAAAGACUUUCCCCUCUCUGGCUACGUUGAGUUACGCUAUGACGAUGAGGUGAAGCGGGUGGUGGCUGAGCCAGUGGAGUUGGCCCAGGAGUUCCGCAAGUUUGACCUGAACAGCCCAUGGGAGGCUUUCCCUGCCUAUCGCCAGCCCCCUGAGAGUCUCAAGCUUGAAGCAGGAGACAAGAAACCUGAAACCAAGUAGCUCCAGCGAAGGCAUGUGGAUACUAGAAAGCGCUUUAUCUAUAACUGAGCAUCCCUGUAAAUAAACUCCUGAGACUAACCA